GCUGCAGAGACCCCGCCUGGCCCGCGGGCCGCGCCCGGGAAGGGACCCUGGCUCCCCAAAUCAAAGCGAGCUGUAAGGCAUCUUUAAAAAGCUCAGACAGAAGCGUUCGACGGAGACCCUCAGUCCUUGCUGGACAAGCCACUGCCACUUGAAGUUUUAAGGAAUGGUUGAAGGGCGCACAGAGGAACAUUUGGUUAUACAAAAGGAUUGAUUUUUACGAGAAGCUUCAAACGACGCCCCGGAAAGUGGGACAAGAUUAUCUGUAAAUCAGAUAAGAAGGAUUCUGAAAGUAAAAGAUACCUUAGUCGCUUACAUCAGAUGUAUUCCACCUCGCUCGCCAACGUGGAGUUCUGCAGGAGGAGUAACCUUCCAGAACAAACGAGGAGUAAGCCUGCCUCUCCAGGGAUGACCACAGCACCCCUCACCCUGGAACAAGAGGCUAAGGCAGCAAGUCGAUACUGGACUAACUAUGUGGAUUGAGAAAGCGAAUGUAGUGUCUCACCUGCAUGAAAAGAAUGAAGAAAUGUUGAAACUCCCCCCAAAAUAAUUAAAUGGCAGAUUUCUUUUUCUUCAAAUUUAUGACAAGAAAAUAUGGUAUUAUCUAGUAAAUAAUAAUAUAAACCCAGAAAUAUGAAUAAAAAUCAGUAGAAAUAAGAAUCA
rnacentral:lncRNA from 1 species